rnacentral:rRNA from 1 species
UCUUUGUGUAGCAAUACAUGGAGGUAGGAGUGGCGCAAGGGUGCGUAACACGUGGGUAAUUUGCCGUGAAGACUGGGAUAACUUGCUGAAAGGCGAGCUAAUACCGGAUGUGGAAAUUGGGAGGCAUCUUUUGAUUUCUGAAGUUGGGGACCGCAAGGCCUGACACUUUACGAUAAGCCCGCGGCCUAUCAGCUAGUUGGUGAGGUAACGGCUCACCAAGGCUAAGACGGGUAGCUGGUCUGAGAGGACGACCAGCCACACUGGAACUGAGACACGGUCCAGACACCUACGGGUGGCAGCAGUCGAGAAUUUUUCUCAAUGGGCGAAAGCCUGAAGGAGCGACGCCGCGUGGGGGAUGAAGGGUUUCGAUCCGUAAACCCCUGUCAUUUGCGAACAAACCCUGGAGUUUAAGAGAUGCCAGGCUGAUUGUAGCGAAAGAGGAAGGGACGGCUAACUCUGUGCCAGCAGCCGCGGUAAUACAGAGGUCCCAAGCGUUGUUCGGAUUCACUGGGCGUAAAGGGUGCGUAGGUGGCUGGGUAAGUUUGAUGUGAAAUCUCCGGGCUUAACCCGGAAAUGGCAUUGAAUACUAUUCGGCUGGAGGUUUGGAGGGGGGACUGGAAUUCUCGGUGUAGCAGUGAAAUGCGUAGAUAUCGAGAGGAACACCAGUGGCGAAGGCGAGUCCCUGGACAACACCUGACACUGAGGCACGAAAGCUAGGGGAGCAAACAGGAUUAGAUACCCUGGUAGUCCUAGCUGUAAACGGUGCACAUUUGCUGUAAAAGGAAUCGACCCCUUUUGUGGCGAAGCUAACGCGAUAAAUGUGCCGCCUGGGAAGUACGGUC